rnacentral:rRNA from 1 species
UACGUAGGUGGCAAGCGUUAUCCGGAAUUAUUGGGCGUAAAGCGCGCGUAGGCGGUUUUUUAAGUCUGAUGUGAAAGCCCGCAGCUCAACCGUGGAGGGGCUUUGGAGACUGGAAGACUUGAGUGGAGGAGAGGAAAGUGGAACGCCAUGUGUAGCGGUGAAAUGCGCAGAGAUAUGGAGGAACACCCGUGGCGAAGGCGACUUUCUGGUCUGUAACUGACGCUGAUGUGCGAAAGCGUGGGGAGCAAACAGG